rnacentral:rRNA from 1 species
UGGUGGAGUGAUUUGUCUGGUUAAUUCCGUUAACGAACGAGACCUCGACCUGCUAAAUAGUUCGCCAAACCAUUUGGUUCGCGUGACACUUCUUAGAGGGACUAUCGGUGUGUAGCCGAUGGAAGUUCGAGGCAAUAACA